rnacentral:rRNA from 1 species
UGGGGAAUAUUGCACAAUGGGCGCAAGCCUGAUGCAGCCAUGCCGCGUGUAUGAAGAAGGCCUUCGGGCUGUAAAGUACUUUCAGCGGGGAGGAAGGCGAUAAGGUUAAUAACCUUGUCGAUUGACGUUACCCGCAGAAGAAGCACCGGCUAACUCCGUGCCAGCAGCCGCGGUAAUACGGAGGGUGCAAGCGUUAAUCGGAAUUACCGGGCGUAAAGCGCACGCAGGCGGUCUGUCAAGUCGGAUGUGAAAUCCCCGGGCUCAACCUGGGAACUGCAUUCGAAACUGGCAGGCUAGAGUCUUGUAGAGGGGGGUAGAAUUCCAGGUGUAGCGGUGAAAUGCGUAGAGAUCUGGAGGAAUACCGGUGGCGAAGGCGGCCCCCUGGACAAAGACUGACGCUCAGGUGCGAAAGCGUGGGGAGCAAACA